GCGGUGAUGCAACCGGUCAGGAUGCUCUCGAUGGUGCAGCUGUAGAACCUUUUGAGGAUCUGGGGACCCAUGCCAAAUCUUUUCAGUCUUCUGAGGGGGAAAAGGUUUUGUCGUGCCCUCUUCACGACUGUCUUGCUCUCUUGCUUUUGGACUGAGAGGGGGAGUGAAUGUAAUCAGAUCGUAGACGGAGGGUACAGGUGAGAAGGACAGCACAGCAGCACCUUGUUGUGUGAAAGAGCCUACCCAUGAGGACACAGUGAAAGCCCAGGAUGUAAUAGAGACUCAGCAGCCAAAGGAGUAGCUGUGUGCCCAAACUUUGUCAUUGACCAGAUUCUUCUCAUUCCAGUCGCCCUUUAAUUCCAGUGUAAGGAUGAGUGAGUACAUUUCAAGGCCGUUCUUCCACUA
rnacentral:lncRNA from 1 species